UGUUAAAAAUUUCAUCCAUUUUUGCUGUUAAAAAUUGACCCAGGCAAUUACAUGUGGCGUGCCACAUAUACCUCAUUUUGAUGUACAUGGAUUAGUUUUUAACACUAGAAAUGGAUGGAAUUUUUAACA
rfam:Gossypium hirsutum cultivar TM-1 chromosome 12, whole genome shotgun sequence